CCCCCGCCCCCGGGAUUCUGCUCCAAACACUGAACGAGCCCCCAGUUCCUUACUCGCCCCCUGCUCGGGUUGAGUCUCUCGUGUCCCUAGCUCAUUUUUGUUGUUUUGGCUGAAGUUCAGUGGAGCGGCUGCGGGAUGGGAUUGGGACCUGCUCAGCAGAGCCAGAUGGGAAGCUCUCAGGAAGAGGCUGCUCACCUUUUAGAGGGUUUUUAACUAUUUAAAACUUCAUGGUGCCCCAGGGCAAUCCCAUGAGAUCAUGAUCCAUCUCCCAGAAGAGACAGGGACAGCCUGGCAGUGCCACACUGGGAUGGGAUGAGCUCCCUGCCCUGCCGGGCUUCAGGAGGCACGCGAGGGGAGCAAACCCCAAUUCCCACAUCCUGUGGGGCCGGCAUUGAUGGCAUUAUCUCUCCCCUGUCUCGGCUAAAGGGAAGCAGUACCUUAACACACUCCCGGUAUGGCCAGAGGUCUUUAAAAAGCUCCAGCACUUUGAGGAAAAUCGCCUCCAGGCAUUCCUUGGGUGCUGUAAAUUCAGGGUUUAAGGCCAGAAGCGACCCUGGCCAUUAUCUGGUCACACCUCCCUUGUAAAAGCCACAAACGACAACAAAAAACGCCUUGAGCGUUUAAUUUGCUGAAGGGCCUUCAACAGAUGGAGAGCUGCCACGUCCUGGGGUCAGUUGUUCCCACAACUAACAGGACGAAGUGUCCAAAGUGGCUGCUUCGUUCCAGGCUAAAAUUACAGAGGUGAAGAGCAGGGAUGUGGGGAGGGGGAAGGAAAACGAGGAUUUCAGCCCAGAGAAGCCCUCCAAGCACCGAGUUCACCCCUCCACACCCAGCUGGGCUUCCCUAACGGCCCCAAAAGCCCACCCGCGUUCCCGAGGGAAGCGAGGACGAUCCAUGGGUUCUGUUGUCCUUCAUUCCACCGGAGUCUGUCUCGUAGCUAACCAGAUUUCAGUGGAGUGAAGCACAAGAGGCAUGGAGCUGAGCCAGCACACAGGAGCUGCUGCACUGCCGGCCUGGGACGCCACGUGGGAAUCGGGGUGCAGCAGGCAGAGACCUCAGUGCUGGCAGACGGAGAGGAGCAGCACGAGGAGCUCCUCAAUGGCCUGAGUACCUCCUGAAAAUCCCCACUAAGAACCCUCUGCGAGCUUGUUCUUCCUUCCUGCAUAAUGUGUAAAGAUUAAAAGUCUACAAAGACCACAAGCUGCUUUCUGGAAGGUUUAAAUACCUUAUUAGCAAGAAAUUAAAGCCUAAAGUGGAUAAA